rnacentral:rRNA from 1 species
GACGAACGCUGGCGGCGUGCUUAACACAUGCAAGUCGUACGGUAAGGCCCUUUCGGGGGUACACGAGUGGCGCACGGGUGAGUAACACGUGAGUAACCUGCCCACAACUUUGGGAUAACGCUAGGAAACUGGUGCUAAUACUGGAUAUGUGCUCCUGCUGCAUGGUGGGGGUUGGAAAGCUCCGGCGGUUGUGGAUGGACUCGCGGCCUAUCAGCUUGUUGGUGGGGUAGUGGCCUACCAAGGCGGCGACGGGUAGCCGGCCUGAGAGGGUGACCGGCCACAUUGGGACUGAGAUACGGCCCAGACUCCUACGGGAGGCAGCGGUGGGGAAGAUUGCACAAUGGGCGCAAGCCUGAUGCAGCAACGCCGCGUGCGGGAUGACGGCCUUCGGGUUGUAAACCGCUUUCAGCAGGGACGAAGCUUUUUGUGACGGUACCUGCAGAAGAAGCACCGGCUAACUACGUG